rnacentral:lncRNA from 1 species
GCGGACCGGGAGCAGAGACCCGGGGAAGCGCGACCGUCCCAGCCUCCAGAACCGCCAGGCAGCGGAGCAUGCGCGGAGAGCCAGACGGACUCAAGGCGAGGACUCCGAAGUCAACAAGGCAGGGGAUGCCCCCUGCUGGCUCCACCCCCUUCUGCUUUACUCCGCCCCCAACCCAAACAACGCGAGGCCUCGACUGGGCCCGCUGCAGUGUCUUCUGGCUUCAGGACUUGACUAGAAACACGGUAGAAAGACCAUACUAUAAAGGAAUGACAAGAUUUUUCAUAUGUAAAAUCAGCUUGAUUUCCCCCAGGAUUAUUUUUAUUUAGACACUCUUAAAAACUCAAUCUACGUUUCUUACAAAAUAAUUAAAUAAUGAUGUUAUAUUACAUAAGCAAUUUGGACCAUCAGGUAUAGCUGGAUUGUUUUAGGCAAGACUUUCUUCAGUUUCUUAUUAAAAGGCUGAAAAAUGAAUUACAUCCCUGAAAAAUGAGUUUGUAUUUUUAUUCUCCACCUUUUCCUGUUUAUCUACUCUAGCAGGAAACCAAAUUGUGUGAUUUUUUGCCUCUGUGAAAUUUUUGGCAGGACAUAAAGCAUGGUCUGCAUAGCGAUAAGCCCCAAACUCUCCCCAGAUGAGGAAUAGAAAAGAGAAUCCCAUGUACAUUGAGC